rnacentral:rRNA from 1 species
UACGUAGGGUGCAAGCGUUAAUCGGAAUUACUGGGCGUAAAGCGUGCGCAGGCGGUUUUGUAAGUCUGACGUGAAAUCCCCGGGCUCAACCUGGGAAUUGCGUUGGAGACUGCAAGGCUAGAGUCUGGCAGAGGGGGGUAGAAUUCCACGUGUAGCAGUGAAAUGCGUAGAGAUGUGGAGGAACACCGAUGGCGAAGGCAGCCCCCUGGGUCAAGACUGACGCUCAUGCACGAAAGCGUGGGGAGCAAACAGG